rnacentral:rRNA from 1 species
UGAUCCGGAGAUCUCCGAAUGGGGCAACCCAUCCCACUUGUGGGAUAUCUCUAUCUGAAUACAUAGGAUAGUGAGGCGAACCUGGGGAACUGAAACAUCUAAGUACCCAGAGGAAAAGAAAUCAACCGAGAUUCCGUGAGUAGUGGCGAACGAAAGCGGAACAGCCCUGUAACAUAAUGUUUGUAAUGUCUAAUAGAACAGAAUGGAAAGUCUGACCAUAGUGGGUGAUAGUCCCGUACAUGAAAGGCAUUAUAAGUUGGUUACGAUGAGUAGGUCGGGACACGUGUUAUCUUGACUGAAUAUGGGGGGACCAUCCUCCAAGGCUAAAUACUCUCUACUGACCGAUAGCGAACCAGUACCGUGAGGGAAAGGUGAAAAGNACCCCUGUUAGGGGAGUGAAAUAGNACCUGAAACCGUAUGCAUACAAGCAGUAGGAGCAUGUUUACAUGUGACUGCGUACCUUUUGUAUAAUGGGUCAGCGACUUACUUACAGUGGCAAGCUUAACCGUAUAGGGUAGGCGUAGAGAAACCGAGUCCGAAUAGGGCGUUNUAGUCGCUGUGAGUAGACCCGAAACCGGGCGAUCUAUCCAUGGCCAGGGUGAAGGUUGGGUAAAACCAACUGGAGGCCCGAACCCACUGAUGUUGCAAUAUCACGGGAUGAGCUGUGGAUAGGAGUGAAAGGCUAAUCAAGCUCGGAGAUAGCUGGUUCUCCUCGAAAUAUAUUUAGGUAUAGCCUCGUGUAUAACUCUUGGGGGUAGAGCACUGUUUCGGCUAGGGGGUUGUCAUGACUUACCAAACCGUUGCAAACUCCGAAUACCAAGAAGUUCAGCACGGGAGUCACACGGCGGGUGAUAAGGUCCGUCGUGGAAAGGGAAACAGCCCAGACCGCCAGCUAAGGUCCCNAANUNACAGUUAAGUGGUUAACGAUGUGAGAAGGCNCAAACAGCCAGGAGGUUGGCUUAGAAGCAGCCAUCCUUUAAAGAAAGCGUAAUAGCUCACUGGUCGAGUCGUCUUGCGCGGAAGAUUUAACGGGGCUAAACUAUGUACCGAAGCUGCGGGAUUGAUAUUUAUUAUCAAUCGGUAGAGGAGCGUUCUGUAAGUCUGUGAAGGUGUGCUGUCAGGCAUGCUGGAGAUAUCAGAAGUGAGAAUGCUGACAUAAGUAACGUUAAUACGGGUGAAAACCCCGUACGCCGAAAGUCCAAGGUUUCCUUGCGCAAUGUUAAUCAGCGCAGGGUUAGUCGGCCCCUAAGGCGAGGCAGAAAUGCGUAGUCGAUGGGAAACAGGUUAAUAUUCCUGUACUUUAUGUGGUUGCGAUGGGAUGACGGAGAAGGCUAGGUCAGCCAGGUGAUGGAUAUCCUGGUUUAAGCUUGUAGGUAGGACGUUCUGGUAAAUCCGUGCGUCUAUUACUGAGGAGUUAUGACGAUCUCUGAGGGCUUGCCCGAUGAGAGAAGUGAUUAAUGCCACGCUUCCUAGAAAAGUCUCUAAGCUUCAGAUCACAUAGAACCGUACCCCAAACCGACACUGGUGGACAAGUAGAGAAUACUAAGGCGUUGAGAGAACUUGGGUGAAGGAACUCGGCAAAAUGAUACCGUAACUUCGGGAGAAGGUAUGCCUCCGCUGGUGACAGACUUCGCGUCUAGAGCUGGUAGAGGUCGCAGAGAAUAGGUAGCUGAGACUGUUUAUCAAAAACAUAGCACUCUGCAAACACGUAAGUGGACGUAUAGGGUGUGACACCUGCCCGGUGCCGGAAGGUUAAUUGAUGUGGUUAGCUUAUGCGAAGCCAUUGAUCGAAGCCCCGGUGAACGGCGGCCGUAACAAUAACGGUCCUAAGGUAGCGAAAUUCCUUGUCGGGUAAGUUCCGACCUGCACGAAUGGUGUAACAAUGGCUACGCUGUCUCCACCCAAGACUCAGUGAACUUGAAUUCGCUGUGAAGAUGCAGUGUACGCGCGGCUAGACGAGAAGACCCCGUGCACCUUUACUACAGUUUUACACUGAAUUUUGGUGAUGCUUGUGCAGGAUAGGUGGGAGACUUUGAAGCAGGAACGCUAGUUUCUGUGGAGUCAUCCUUGAAAUACCACCCUGGCAUCACUGGAGUUCUAACCUAGGUCCGUAAUCCGGAUCGGAGACAGUGUAUGAUGGGUAGUUUGACUGGGGCGGUCUCCUCCUAAAGAGUAACGGAGGAGCACAAAGGUACCCUCAGCACGGUCGGAAAUCGUGCAAUGAGUGCAAAGAUACAAGGGUGCUUGACUGUGAGACUGACAAGUCGAGCAGGUAGGAAACUAGGUCUUAGUGAUCCGGUGGU